rnacentral:rRNA from 1 species
AUUGAACGCUGGCGGCAGGCCUAACACAUGCAAGUCGAACGAGUUGCGGACGGGUGAGUAAUGUCUGGGAAACUGCCUGAUGGAGGGGGAUAUCUACUGGAAACGGUAGCUAAUACCGCAUACCAUCAGAUGUUCCCAGAUGGGAUUAGCUUGUUGGUGGGGUAACUGCUCACCAAGGCGACGAUCCCUAGCUGGUCUGAGAGGAUGACCAGCCAAACUGGAACUGAGACAAGGUCCAGACUCUGACGUGAGGCAGCAGUGGGGAAUAGUGCACAAUGGGCGCAAGCCUGAUGCAGCCAUGCCGCGUGUAUGAAGAAGGCCUUCGGGUUGUAAAGUACUUUCAGCGGGGAGGCGUUACCCGCAGGAGAAGCACCGGCUAACUCCGUGCCAGGAGCCGCGGUAAUUC